GAAGCUGGAUUCGCUAGUAAUCGCGCAUCAGCCACGGCGCGGUGAAUACGUUCCCGGGCCUUGUACACACCGCCCGUCAAGCCAUGGAAGCCGGGGGUGCCUGAAGUGCGCUGCCGCAAGGAGCGCCCUAGGGUAAAACCGGUGACUGGGGCUAAGUCGUAACAAGGUAGC
rnacentral:rRNA from 1 species